rnacentral:misc_RNA from 1 species
AACGCAUAUUGCGCCCGCCAGUACUCUGGCGGGCAUGCCUGUUCGAGCGUCGUUUCACCACUCGGGCUCCAGGUCCCGGCGUCGAGGCACUGUGCAUCAUAUGUGCAGGCCUCCAGAUAUAGUGGCGGAUCAAUCCGCGGUCCUGAGCGUAGUAAUACGUCUCGCUUGGGCCGUGGUGCGGGCUUGCCUCGCCCCAAUUGCGGCACGCUCGACGUGCCUCGACAAGUCGACCUCGAAUCAAGCAAGACUACCCGCUGAACUUAA